ACUACCGUAGCUCAGUUGGUUAGAGCACUACCUUGACAUGGUAGGGGUCGGUGGUUCGAAUCCACUCGGUUGUACCA
rnacentral:tRNA from 1 species